UCUCUCUCUCUCUCUCUCUCUCUGUCUCGUCUCCAUCUCUCUUGUAUAUCUUUCUUUCUCUCUCUCUCUAAAACUUGGGAGUCAAAUCCAUCAACAAAACCCUUUCUCCUCUCUCUCUCUCUCUAAAAUUGUCCUCUCCAAACUCUCUUUUUAUCACCUUCUGAUCAGGAGACAAGACUCAAAUUUGUGUGGUUAACUUGUUCAACCAUUCAUUUGCUAUCUCUCUCCAUCAUCACGUUCAACUGGGUUAGCAUCGGGCCUUAACAUUUAGCAAGGACAAGGUUCAAGAAACAUGCCUCCUCAGUCAUCAGGUCUCUUUUCUGAAAGAAGAGAGUUGAUGGGGAAUGGGUGGAAUAGGGAAAAAGAAAACAGGGUGCUGGUAUUUUAAAACAAGGCUUUGCAGACUUGAAGGAUGUCCUGAUGGUUUGACUUGCAAGGUAACAGUUUUGCACCACCUGUGCGCCCAACCACUUUCAUUAGUGGCGAGGCUGAGUGGCUGCUGGCCCUAGACCCCAUAGGUCCUUGUACAAAACUAGGCCGUGCAAGGAUACUAUGGAGGUCUGCCCAUAUGGAGCCAGAUGCUGGUAUGGGCAUGAAAAUGAACAACCCACACAAGGCUAUGCUGCGCUUUAUACCGUAUAACAAGAAUAUAUGUUCCAUGAAACAUGUCCCCGGGCACAUUUAAAGAAAAAAUGAUUUAGCAUCAAGAAUCUGGAAUAUUGACAGAGGAGUCUACGAAUGCUUUUGUACAUCUUAAGCCUAUACACUAAUUGUUGUUGUAGCUGAGCUGGUUUGCUUUUGUAUAUGUUACGCCUAUACACUAGUUGUUAUUGUAGCUUAGCUGGUUUGCUUUUGUAUAUGUUACGCCCAUACACUAGUUAUUGUAGCUGGGCUGUGUUUCCUGUGCUUGUGUGCAA